rnacentral:rRNA from 1 species
AGUGAACGCUGGCGGCGUGCUUAACACAUGCAAGUCGAACGAGAACGGAAUAUAGCUUGCUAUAUUUGUCAGCUAAGUGGCGCACGGGUGAGUAAUGUAUAGAUAACCUGCCCUUAAGAAAGGAAUAACAGUUGGAAACGACUGCUAAUGCCCUAUAUGCCUUUAAUACGUAGGUAUGCAAGGGAAACGCUUUAGUGCUUAAGGAUGGGUCUGUAUGGUAUCAGCUUGUUGGUGAGGUAAUGGCUCACCAAGGCUAUGACGCCUAACUGGUUUGAGAGGAUGAUCAGUCACACUGGAACUGAGACACGGUCCAGACUCCUACGGGAGGCAGCAGUGGGGAAUAUUGCACAAUGGACGAAAGUCUGAUGCAGCAACGCCGCGUGGAGGAUGACACAUUUCGGUGCGUAAACUCCUUUUAUAUGAGAAGAUAAUGACGGUAUUAUAUGAAUAAGCACCGGCUAACUCCGUGCCAGCCGCCGCCGUAACAC